rnacentral:piRNA from 1 species
UGCCAGGGGAAGCAAUGCAGGAUGCUGU